CAGCCACAACACCAUCUCUGGAAUAGCAUCGGCACCUGCUUCCUAAAACCAAAACCACACAAACUCGGCUUCAUUUCUGUAACUCGACAGCUUCGAUGAGAUGAAGGAGAAGAGCAGAGAGAUGGGCUCGAGUCGGCGGGCGGAAGAGAUCUUCAGGGAUUACAGUGGUCGGAGAACCAACGCCGUCCACGCUUUAACUAACGAGAGAGAGAGGUCGAGCAAGGUUUCGUUGAUUUCAGUCAACUUGGGCUACCCCCAUCGUCCGGUAAGAUCCCUCGGUGAUCCCUUCGCUCGCUUAUGUCGUCUUUCGCAUCAGGAAGGCUCGUGCGUGGUUUUUUGGGUGGGGAUUUCAGAUUUCAAGCGGGAGAGAGGCUGUGCUUCGUUACGAUCGGGCCGAGCUUCUAUCUGCAAAUCGAGGCCCCGGUGAAGCAUAAGCAUUACAGGCCUGCGGGAAAGAAAAAGGAAGGAAAUGCCGCUAGGUGCGUCACCAGGUCACAAGUUGUCAAGCAGCUUCAAGUCAGUCUUCCCCUCUUCAGGGUUUAGGGUUUGUGCAUUAUUCGGAUUUGGCGUUAGUUUCUGUUAUCCAGAUUUUGUAUCUUUAUGUGGAAAUGAGUCGUAGCUGGUAAAUGAGAAGCAGAGUAAGCAAAUUACGGAGAUACCUCCAGAAGAGUAUAAAAUGCCCCUGGUAUGGAUUGACUUGGAAAUGGCUGGUGAGGGUAAAAUAAUUCCUUGGAGUGAAGCUCCUUAUAAGGAUGCUGCAGGGAGAACGGCAUCUGGGAAUUUACCUCUUAAUGCAUUUUUGUCUGAGUGGGCCCUCAUGACACUGUUAAAUCCAAACCGAAGUUUGGCGAAUUUGAUAUAUGUUGGAUACAAUGGCAGUCCUGCUUCAGCUAUCCAUGUUACUAGAAGAAGAUCAGUAGAUCGUAAAACACAAAAAACAGAAAGAAAUGUUAGCUGCUUCGUUUUUGGUCCUAAAAAUGCAGGAAAAUCCCCUCUUUUAAAUUCAUUUAUAGGAAGGUAUGGCUUUCCCCCUUCACUAUACUCAACAUAGUUAAUUAGUUCCGUAUAUUAUAAAUGUGAAGAGAAAGGGUACUACCAUACCUAAUCCCAUUUUCUGAAUCUUUGGUAUAACAAAAUUUAUUGGGUGAUAACUUCCUAGCUCUCAGACGUUGUUAUCGUUCUACACAAAUGAACUAUUUUGCUCCUGAAACUACCCAAUUUUCUUUUCUUUUUUCUUUUCAAACUGAGACAAAGCUCACCGUGUCUGCUAUCCCUUUCCUGUUUGACUCUGGUCUAUCGUCCAUUUAGAAAAUAUUUGUGGUGACUGUAGAUUUAUUCUUUCAUUUGGCUUUGUUAAUUUGUUGUUGCCAAUUUUGACCUCAGGCCU